rnacentral:rRNA from 1 species
AAUCAACGCUGGCGGCGUGCCUCAGACAUGCAAGUCGAACGCGAAAGUUUCCUUCGGGAAGCGAGUAGAGUGGCGCACGGGUGAGUAACACGUAAGUAAUCUACCUCGGGGUGGGGAAUAACAUCGGGAAACCGAUGCUAAUACCGCAUAAUGCAGCGGCUUCUUAUGAAGACAGUUGUUAAAGCAUUUAUGUGCCUGGAGAGGAGCUUGCGGCAGAUUAGCAGUUGGUAAGGUAAUGGCUUACCAAGGCAACGAUCUGUAGCCGACCUGAGAGGGUGGUCGGUCACACUGACACUGAAUAACGGGUCAGACUCCUACGGGAGGCAGCAGUCGGGAAUUUUGGGCAAUGGGCGAAAGCCUGACCCAGCAACGCCGCGUGAAGGAUGAAGUAUUUCGGUAUGUAAACUUCGUAAAAAUAGGAAGAAUAAAUGACGGUACUAUUUGUAAGGUCCGGCUAACUACGUGCCAGCCGCCGCGGUAAU